rnacentral:rRNA from 1 species
UACCCGCAGCACAAGUGGUGGUCAUUAUUAUUGGGCCUAAAGCGUCCGUAGCUGGCCUGUUAGAUGCCUGGGUAAAUCGAUGCGCUCAACGCAUCGAACUCCGGGUAGACCGGCAGGCUUGGGACCGGGAGAGGCGUGAGCUACUCGGGGGGUAGGGGUAAAAUCCUGUAAAUCCUCCGGGGAGGACCAGUGGCGAAGGCGUCACGCUAGAACGGCUCC